rnacentral:rRNA from 1 species
UCGGGAAUAUUGCGGCAAUGGAGGAAACUCUGACGCAGUGACGCCGCGUAUAGGAAGAAGGUUUUUCGGAUUGUAAACUAUUGUCUGCAGGGAAGAAAAGAACUGUACCUGCAAAGAAGCUCCGGCUAACUACGUGCCAGCAGCCGUGGUAAUACGUAGGGAGCAAGCGUUGUCCGGAUUUAUUGGGUGUAAAGGGUGCGUAGACGGGAAGAUAAGUUAGUUGUGAAAUCCCUCGGCUCAACUGAGGAACUGCAACUAAAACUGUCUUUCUUGAGUGCAGGAGAGGAAAGUGGAAUUCCUAGUGUAGCGGUGAAAUGCGUAGAUAUUAGGAGGAACACCAGUGGCGAAGGCGACUUUCUGGACUGUAACUGACGUUGAGCACGAAAGUGUGGGGAGCAAACAGGGAUUAG